rnacentral:rRNA from 1 species
AGAGUUUGAUCCUGGCUCAGAUUGAACGCUGGCGGCACGCCUAACACAUGCAAGUCGAGCGGCAGCGGGAUAUGUAGCAAUACAUAUUGCCGGCGAGCGGCGGACGGGUGAGUAAUACGUAAGAAUCUGCCCUCAAGCGGGGGAUAACUAAUGGAAACGUUAGCUAAUACCGCAUAAUCUCGGAAGAGAAAAGGUGCCCGUAAGGGUGUCACUUGAGGAGGAGCUUGCGUCUGAUUAGCUAGUUGGUGGGGUAAGAGCCUACCAAGGCGAUGAUCAGUAACUGGUCUGAGAGGACGACCAGUCACACUGGGACUGAGACACGGCCCAGACUCCUACGGGAGGCAGCAGUGGGGAAUAUUGGACAAUGGGGGAGACCCUGAUCCAGCGAUGCCGCGUGAGUGAAGAAGGCCUUCGGGUC